rnacentral:rRNA from 1 species
GACGAACGCUGGCGGCGUGCUUAACACAUGCAAGUCGAACGGAAAGGCCUCUUUCGGGGGGUACUCGAGUGGCGAACGGGUGAGUAACACGUGGGUAACCUGCCCUUGACUUUGGGAUAACUUCAGGAAACUGGGGCUAAUACCGGAUAGGAGCUCCUGCUGCAUGGUGGGGGUUGGAAAGUUUCGGCGGUUGGGGAUGGACUCGCGGCUUAUCAGCUUGUUGGUGGGGUAGUGGCUUACCAAGGCUUUGACGGGUAGCCGGCCUGAGAGGGUGACCGGCCACAUUGGGACUGAGAUACGGCCCAGACUCCUACGGGAGGCAGCAGUGGGGAAUAUUUCACAAUGGGUGGAAGCCUGAUGCAGCAACGCCGUGUGCGGGAUGACGGCCUUCGGGUUGUAAACCGCUUUCGCUCAUGACGAAGCUUUGUGUGACGGUAGUGGGUAAAGAAGCACCGGCUAACUACGUG